rnacentral:rRNA from 1 species
AUGUUAUUAGAGUAUGGGUUACUGAAAUUAAAUUUUAUUGCACCCUCGUACAAUCUGGCAGGUAAUCUUACUCUUUCUCUUUUAGCAAGAACAGCAUUGGUUCCUUGUGUAGUGCUACAUGCUUGUCAACUUGUUUGUACUUGCUGCCAGAGAGAAUUAGUUUACUGCUUGCAAAACCUAACUUUUGCUGGAUCUUUAUCAGGAUUCUCACUAUUAGUUGGCUUGGAAGAAGGAUGCUACUGUAUCCGUAUGAAGGGCGCGCGGUGGGCGUGCUUUUUCAUUUCUUUUCAUUAUAAUCUUUUAGGAUUGGUAUAA